rnacentral:lncRNA from 1 species
GUUUUUAAUAUUGCGUUUUAAAUAAAUAAUAUUAUGUAUGUUAAUACCAAUAUUAUAACGAUUUCAUUGUAUGCAAUAUCAAAGGUCCUAGAGGUUUAGAUACCAAAUGUCUGUGCGUAAUGCGUAUUGAUAAUAAUUUCGAAUAAUGUUGGUAAGUCACCGGUAAUUACAACGAUACAAUACAAUCUACAUAAUAAGUAAAUCGUAUCUAUUAUUACUAAAUUAUCAAUGAAAAAAAAUUAAAUAUUUACGAGUACCUACCUAGGUAUACAAAAUAUAAAGUACAUGACACGUAAUACUGUUCGGUGACUGUAUAUUAUAACAAAUAAAAUACCAUAACAUAAUAUCAACGGUGGACAACGAUUGACGGAUUGACAAUACAUUGGAUGCAUGAUAUCCACAUUUUUCAGAAAAAUUUAAAAAAUGUAAAUAAAAAUGCUUAUUAUUAUGAGCAUUUAAGAAGUGUUCUUUUUUAUUUCCCUCGAGUAUUCGAAAAUUGAAUAUCGGUGAUCAAUUAUGCAUAACAGAAUAUAUUGUAAUGAAGUCACAAUGGUGACUGUUAGAAUUUAUUAUAAUAAUUAUUCGUUAAUGAUUUCAGUAAGCCAGCCAUCUGUCAAAUGCAGUAUUAUUGUCACCAAGCUGUGUCUGAAUAAUGAAUAAGUUAUUUUUAAAACGCAAUCUAGUAGAUAAAAUACAUCCAGCUUUCGUGGAAUUAGUUCCGAACUUUGUCGAUUUUUGGUCAGGGGAUCUAUUUUUGAGUUCGCACUAAUCAUUGGCGAAUACUUUAGUACACUAAUCAAUUGGACGAUGAUUUUAGUGCAUUAACUAAAAUUCGUAUUUUUGAAUUUCAUUUUUUUUCUAUCUAAUAUUCUUAAACUAAUCGCAUAUUGUCUAAUCUUUUGUUUUUUAAACUAAUAAUUAUUAGUGCGAUAUCUAAAAUUAUAUUGGCUGUACUGUAAAUUAUAUUAGUUUUAUCAGACAUAAAUUAUAGAAAUAUAACAUAAAUAAGAUAAUACUUAUUACUUACCUAUUACUUUUAAAGUUUUUCUUUGGCGAGUUUGGCCUUUGCGUUUUCCUAAGUUUUUGAGUUUGCUCCUUAGAGUCUCUAGAGUCAAGUCGAUAGCGAAAUAGUGCUAUUCUAUAUUUUAUCCAUUUUUUUUUACGGUUAUGGAAGCAAAAAAAAAGUCCAAAAGUGUAACUUAUGAACAAAAAUAAUUAUUGAUUGAUUUUGUUCAUAAGCAUCCAAAAUUAAAUACCAAGAAGUUUGGACCUUCUUUUACCAUGAAGGAUUCACAGUUGUUGUGGCAAAAUAUUACCUGUACGUUGAACCAAACAAUUGGACCAAAAAAAACUUAGGUUGAAUGGAGAAAGUGUUUUUAAUACUUAAAAUCCGCUGCAAAACAAAAAGUUCCUUUAAAAUCACAUUACAGCAAGACUGGAGGAGGUGAAAAGCAGGAUGAAGAGUGCAUUGACCAAGCUGACGAACAACUUCUGGAUAUUUUAGGGCAUACUGCUAUUCAUGGUCAUGACACUGUCACAGAAAGUACUUGUACUGUUUCAUUUUUGAGUGACAACACUGGUAAUGUUAUAGCUACAACUGAUGAAGUAGAUAUAGAGGAGUUGAUUUCAGAUAAUAUGCCUGCAGAAGAAGAUAGUAAUAAUUUAGACUUCAUUACUAUUUUUGUAAAUUCAAAUAACAGCGAUGAGCAAGAUAGUACUAAAAAAGCAAUUGAAUCUGAUCCGUUUGACCAAUUUAUUGGUAGGUACUGUUAAAAAAAGAAGUUUGGAUAAACUUUUUGAAGAUAUUAAUUUACAAAAUGCCCACAACAAGUUAUGAUAAAAUGAUUCAACUCCAUUUUAAUAUUUUUUACCUAUCAAAUAUCGCCAGACAUACGUUAGAAAAAAAAUUUACAAAAUAUGCACAUAAAAAACGAUCGACAUACAAUAUAUUAAUGUGAUAAGUUCAAGUACGCACAAUUAUACUGAAAAUCGAUGAUAAUAUAACUAAACAAGUUGGAAAAAUUCACUCCAAUCAAUCAAAAACAAAGUGGGAAAAUUUAAAACAUCUGUUCAAUAUGCUUAUAGAGCCUAAUAUUACCGUGUUUAAUUUAUAUACUAAUUAUUUACUCGGGUUAUAAUGUAAAAAAUAAUAAUGUACCUAACUGUAUGAAAUUAAUCACGCACAAAACCACGACGAGUGGCAAAUUAUUGUUUCAAAUAUAAGUUGUUUACUUAAUUAAGAACUUAAUAUUAUGAACAUAAUAUUGCUUAUUUUAUUUUUUGAAACAGAAUAUUUUUUGGUGUAUUCAUAAAAAAAAGUGUAAAAUUAAACGAGCAUUUUAAUAAGUUUUUAAAGUUUAGAUAAGUGGAAUGAAGUGGUACAGUGCUACUUCUAUCUACAUAUCCGCAUAAUAUACCCUGAUUAAAUAAUCUAAGUCCCUUACUUUAGUUUUUUAAAUCUAUAACAUUUUAUUUUUUCGAGUGAAAAUGCUUGAUAAUAUAUUACGAAGUUUCCUCAGCUGAUAAAUAAAGAUAAUAUAGACAUGGUCACAAUUUUUUUUUUUUAUUACAGCAAGUAUAGACUUAUAGUAAGUUAACGUUUAUAAUUCAAAAAUUAUUUCAUUGUUAGAAAUCCAUAAACCUUUCAAUUAGCUCAAAAAAAUUUAAAUACCUUAAAAAUUGUAUCAUGCAUAGAAAAUGAUAAAUUUAACAUUUGGAGAAAAUUUUAAGUAUCUAAAACUUUAGAUAGAACUUUUUUUGUGUGGUCAAGUGGGUAACGCUCUAUACCAGCGGUUCUUAACCUGUGGUCCUCGGCCCCCUGGGGGUCCGCGAUACUCAUGUCGGGAGUCCGCGGCAGCCUUAACACAUAACAUACGUCAAUAAUUGAUGUAUAUUUUUUCAUAUAUAAUAUGUAGAUUCUACACCAAAUAAUUAUAUUAUUAAUAUUUACUAAGUAUAAUCAGUUUUCUUGUUCAUACGAAAUGUAAGUGUGUACAGAACUGUAGUCUCGGCAGUCUUAUAUUUACUGCCACCAAUAGUGCAGUUGAUCGAUCGUUCUCAAUUAUGGUUUUAUAUUACAUUUUUAUAAAAAAAUUAAUUGUAAUAAAAUAACUAUAAAUGUGUAUGUAUUGUGAAGUCUGCUUA